GAUGAACGCUGGCGGCGUGCCUAAUACAUGCAAGUCGAGCGAACAGACGAGGAGCUUGCUCCUCUGACGUUAGCGGCGGACGGGUGAGUAACACGUGGAUCACCUACCUAUAAGACUGGGAUAACUUCGGGAAACCGGAGCUAAUACCGGAUAAUAUAUUGAACCGCAUGGUUCAAUAGUGAAAGACGGUUUUGCUGUCACUUAUAGAUGGAUCCGCGCCGCAUUAGCUAGUUGGUAAGGUAACGGCUUACCACGGCAACGAUGCGUAGCCGACCUGUGAGGGUGAUCGGCAACAAUGGGAAUGAGGCACGUGCAAGAAUCCGAAGGGAGGCAGCAGUAGGUAAGCUUCCGCAAUGGGCGAAAGCCUGACGGGGCACCGCCGCGUCAGUGAUGAAUGUAUCCGCAUCGUAGAACUCUGUUAUCAGGGAAGAACAAAUGUGGAAGUAACUAUGCACGGCUUGACGGUAUCUAAUCAGAAAGCCACGGCUAACUACGUG
rnacentral:rRNA from 1 species